rnacentral:rRNA from 1 species
AAGGAAUAUUGCGCAAUGGGCGAAAGCCUGACGCAGCGACGCCGCGUGGGGGAUGAAGGUCUUCGGAUUGUAAACCCCUUUCGGGAGGGAAGAUGGGACGAGCAAUCGUCCGGACGGUACCUCCAGAAGCAGCCACGGCUAACUCCGUGCCAGCAGCCGCGGUAAUACGUAGGGUGCGAGCGUUGUCCGGAAUUAUUGGGCGUAAAGAGCUCGUAGGCGGUUUGUCGCGUCGGCCGUGAAAUCUCCACGCUUAACGUGGAGCGUGCGGUCGAUACGGGCAGACUUGAGUUCGGUAGGGGAGACUGGAAUUCCUGGUGUAGCGGUGAAAUGCGCAGAUAUCAGGAGGAACACCGGUGGCGAAGGCGGGUCUCUGGGCCGAUACUGACGCUGAGGAGCGAAAGCGUGGGGAGCGAACAGGAUUAGAUACCCUGGUAGUCCACGCUGUAAACGUUGGGCGCUAGGUGUGGGCGACAUCCACGUUGUCCGUGCCGUAGCUAACGCAUUAAGCGCCCCGCCUGGGGAGUACGGCCGCAAGGCUAA